AAGAGAACUUGCCCUCCGGGGUAGAUCUCCCACCCUCUGUUUACAUACUUUGUUGCUUUGGCAGGCACGGGCCAGAGGAUUCAAAACUCUGAUAAUCAUGUCGUCUGAGUACUAUUAUAAAUAGUUA
rnacentral:misc_RNA from 1 species